ACGGGUGCGUAACGCGUAUGCAACCUACCCAUAACAGGGGGAUAACACUGAGAAAUUGGUACUAAUACCCCAUAACAUCUCGAGUGGCAUCACUUGGGGUUGAAAGCUUCGGUGGUUAUGGAUGGGCAUGCGUUGUAUUAGAUAGUUGGUGGGGUAACGGCCUACCAAGUCGACGAUCGGUAGCCGGACUGAGAGGUCGAACGGCCACAUUGGGACUGAGACACGGCCCAGACUCCUACGGGAGGCAGCAGUGGGGGAUAUUGCACAAUGGGGGAAACCCUGAUGCAGCGACGCCGCGUGAGGGAAGACGGUCCUCUGGAUUGUAAACCUCUGUCUUCG
rnacentral:rRNA from 1 species